GUAGCAAAAUAAAUUGUUUUUUAAUUGAAAACGGGUAUGAAUGGUCAUACAAAGUAUUUUUAUUUUUAAUUAAUUUUAUUAAAUUCUGGUUUAAGUUAAAAUACUUAAAUAAUUAAAAGGGACGAUAAGACCCUAGAAUCUUUAUUUAUAUUUUUUUUAAAGUAGUAUAGGUGAUAAAUAAAUUAAGUUUGAGUUUGAUUGGGGCAAUCAUUUUAAUUAAAUUAAAAUUUUAUAGACUUUAUAAAAGGAUGUAUGAUCCUUUAAAUAAGGAUAAAUAGGUUUAGUUACUCUAGGGAUAACAGCGUAAUAUUUUCAGAAAGGCCAUAUUAAUGAAUAUGAUUGCGACCUCGAUGUUGAAUUAAAAUAUCUCUACAAGGCAUAAUGUGUGUGAGAAGGUUUGUUCAACCUUUAAAAUUUU
rnacentral:rRNA from 1 species